ACCCACGAGCACGCCGACAGAUGCUAAACAAAGUGUCCGUCGCAGAUGCAGUCUGGCCUCUGAAAAUGGGACCACUCUGUCAGCCGCAUCAUCCGUGGCCAGGAUAUUACAAAGCGUGGAUAUAAUACCCCAGCCUCUGCCGGGUCAGGAUGCAUCCUCGGCCAGCUUGAGCCCACACUGUGGAUGGCGACAUGGUUAAGCACUGCACCACAGCCUCCCGGGGGCGACACUGACAGGGGCCAGCACUGCGGGUGCUGGGUGCUGUCCGAGAGCCGCGUGCACAGUGCCAGCUUGCAGUGUGCAGAAGUGCCAGUCACCCUCAUCUUGAAGUUGCGGAAGAGACCAUAUGCGUUCUGCAAUCAGACCUGGACCAAGAAUUUUCCCGGUUUGCCACCCUAGACCCAAUGCUGUGGCAUUAUCUCGACCUCACUGCGUUAGGAAUACAGUAACAACUGUUGUGUGAUGGUUUGGUCGUCCCGUGCUGCGCAC